CCUAGGUCAACACUUUCUUGUACAGAAAAGUCAUGUGUUAUCAGAGGAGAAAAUGCAGAUAUAAUAUUGGGAUGACUCUUGUAAGUGAUGCAAGAUAAUUUGAUGACAAGAAUUGAGAUUAUAUGCUGAGAUCUGACUGUCUUACACUUUGUUAAUUUCUGAAAAGAAUAGAAAUGCAAUCCUAGCUAAAGGAAGAGACGUAGUCUGGCUUACCAGUGGCCAGCAAGCUCUGUAAAGAAACGUUGCCUUUUUGCAGCCAUCUCACCUAAUAUGAGACUCCAGGUAGAAGAGAGCUCCCAAGAAGUCAAAGCACAAACCAAGAUCAUGUAAAUUACUCUCAAGUGAACAACUAGGCAAGGGAUAACCAACCCUGUCCCAACUGUCUCACACCCCCACUGGCCCCCUGCGCUCAUGGAUGCCACGUUCUUCAACGUUUGCACUUCUGUUAACAGGCUUGAAGGAGAGCAAAGAUAGGCUCCUUUACCAAGAGCCCAUUGACCGAAUACAGACACGACGCUAAUACCAAUACGUGUAAAACAAGAUCCUGAGAUGCUGUCAAGUUUUUCUCCCUCAGUUGUGACCAAGUGUAUGUGCUCUCUUGCCUUUGGGUUGCUCAUGUUUUUGGGUCACAGGAUCAAAAGCAGAAGUGUCCAGGCCACUAGGAGACACGGCAAACCAUUAUCUGUGAAAGACUGGGUUUUCUGAAAGAAAACAGUCUGGACGCUGCCAGUGGAGGGAAGAGUCAUGGUAUGAAGUUUUCCAUGAUAAGAGAGAAGAGCAGCCAGGCAGUGGGCAUGCAGGGGGCGUGCUUGUUGUUGAUGGUGUUGUGGUUGUUGUACCCCAAGGCCCGGGGACAAGAUGGCCCCAUGUACACAAAGGUCAUGAAAAUGCAAGGACCCUGGAUAUUGAGUGUCAUGUCCUUGGGAACAGUGAUAACAUGUCCCUGUGUCCAAACUGAGCUCAGUCAGCUUAUCUAAAACAGACAGGGAGUACCUCCGUGGGAACAGUUGGAGCCGAAGAACAGGGAACUUUCCCUUUGAUGUCUGGACUCUACAGAUACUUCGGGAAUUGUGUUCAAGUCCAGGAGGAAUGGCUGAAUACAUGAUUGAGAUAAAUUUGCAGCCAGGAGGUUGAAGAGAAAUUAGGAUCCGAUUUUACUCAGUUGGGAGGAAUCAUGGCCCAGCAUCGAUCUUCUGGGCCUUCAUAGAUCUUCAUAGAUCUUUCUUCUGAAGUUAUUUGGAAUUUGACCAUAAGAUGAAUUUUCCCAAAGAAGAAAGGAGGUGGAAGCUGAUGCGAAGGCCCCAUUUCCACGUGUGAAUUUCUAAGAAACCACAGCUUUCCUCUGGAGUGGAAAUGAAUGGCACCGGGGUCCAUGUUGCCAGAACCUUGUCCUUGGGGACAAGGAAUGAGGACUUGUCACCUGAAGCAUAGGAUUCAUAGUAGGCGUGGGAAUGAAGCCUCUGCCUUUGUGGAAGUGACUAGUUCGCCCAAAUCCAAGGCGUUUUCCACAACCGAGAGGCCUGGGCUGAGGAUAGAGAUUUGAGCCUUACCUGACACAUCCUACUGGGAAGUUGCAUCAAUGGUCAGUGUCUGAGGCCAUGGAAAGUGUCACAUGACGGUGUGUCACAGGGUCCCACAUUUAGGACAUUUCUGAACUCAAAAAUAAUCUUUGAUGACCAUGACUCACAGAAACUUUUAAUAAUUACAACAGGUUUGGGAUCAGUUGAUGAUCACAGAUGGUUCAAGCCACCUACCUAAAUCCCUCUGGGGAGGGGUGGAGGCUCUGGACAGGGAGAUAUGAAGCUGGAGGCAUGGCUUAGUCUCCCUAGCCUGGGUGUGGCCAGGCAAAGCUGGGACAUCCUCAACCCAAAGUUUUGCUGGAUUUAAACUCCUUGUAGAUAUUCCUAACCAGUGGUGAUACGGAAGGGAUAGGAGGAGAAAAGGAUGGCUCUUCAUCAAGAGCAAAAGCAAGAGAUUCAGAUAGGGGAUUUCACUUGGCUUUUCUAGUCUUGGCCGGGGGGGACCCAUUAUGGUAUGAAGAGCUCUGGAAUCUUCUAGAGAAACAAGCAUGGGUGUCCUUUAACAGGUCCCUGAGAGCCAGUUACUGUGGAACAAUGGCUGUUACCAGAGCUUAUUGCAGACCUUGUAACCUGAAUCAUGUGUUGGCCCAGGCCGACCCAGGAAGGUGUCUUGGGAAGGAAAUUCCAGGCUGAGAGGAUUAUUGGCAACUGGCACCACCCCCAGCCUGGAGGAGGGACGUUUCUGGGAUGACCCCCAGAGUGGAGAAAUUGCCGAGUAACAAAAUGUGUCUAUCAUCUCCCAGAGUGUCAACUAAUCUGGUGGCUGGAAACAAACCAACCAACAAAGAAACAAAAGAAGGUCUGUCAAGAAGAGCUGACUUUUCAAGUGGUUCCUUAAAACAGAGGUGAUGGGUAGGUGGAGACAAAACCACCAAACACCCAGGCUGGACCUGUUUAUCUCUGGGCAGCAAUCUGUUCGAUUUCAUGACAAAACAAGGCUUGAAAUCAGGGUUUCCAUUUCACAAACUAAACAGGCACGUGUGCACACACACGUGCACACCAUGCAUGUCCCAGUGCACACACGCACAACCCAUUUCGUAGGGUCCCGGCAGAAUUCUCUCCGCAGGAAAAGCGCUCAUUCUUGCUGAUUUGUGGCUUUCUCUGAUUUGCCUCUGGUUGGGCCUCAUGAUGCAGGACCGGCGGAGGCGUCAGGUCAGAGCUGGAAUAUGUAAGCUCUUCCCAUCCCUUCUCCAUGCCCAGGGCUGAGCAGUGGUUAGAAGGGUAAGCGUGACACACCCAGAGACUCAUCCCCUCUACGGCAUUUUCUGUCUUGCCUCUUUCCACUGUGGACCUUUCUUCUUAGAGUAGCUUUUGAUCAGGCUCACAGUUGUCCACUUCUUAGGACUGGCCAUGUUUCACAAUUCCUCCAAUUGCCUUUCUUUUCCUGGAUGUUCUCAUUGACACCUGUAUUAGAGUUUUCCAGAGAAACAGGAUCAAUAGCACAUAUGGGGAUAUACAAAAAGCUAUUUAUGAUGAGGGAUUGGCUCAAAUAAUGGUGGGGACAGAGAAGUCCCACAAUCUGCCACCUGAGAUCUAGAGGCCCAGCAAAGCUGGUGAUGUGAUUCCAGUCCAAGCCCAAAGGCCUGAGAACCAGGACCACUGACAUGCAAGGACAGGAGAAGAUGGAUGUGUCAGGUCGAGCAGAGAGGAAACUCACCCUUCCUCUGCCUUUUUGUUCUAUUCAAACCCUUAGCAGAUUGCACGGUGCAAUUGCCCACACUGGUGAGGGCGAUCUUUGCUCAGCUUACUGAAUCAAUGCCAGUCUCUUCCAGAAGCACCUUCAAGAUAUGCUCAGUAGGAAAGUUUCCCCAGGUAUCUGGGCAUCCCUAAGCCCAGACACAUCAACUGAACCAUCAUAACACCUAAGACUUUAACUUCCAAUUGUAUGCUGGUGUUUAUGAAACGCUGACAGGCAGCUCAUCCCUCUCUGUUGAACCCUGCAUGGGUUCAAAGCCUGCUGGUCAGCUCUGUCCCAUUCUGCAGGCACCACAACCUCCAACCAUCCAAAUAAAGUAAGUGUCCUUGCUUGCUCUA